rnacentral:sRNA from 1 species
CCCACAGCUGCGUCCUCUCUGACCUUCGCGAUCCGGUGCGCGGCCCGCGGAACGCCCCGAUCUCCAGGAGCACGGAAGGCCGAGGCGUGCCGGGGGAGCCAGGAGCAGCUGGCUGGCGGGCGCCGCGGGCCUCCCCGGUCACGUGACACCCCGGGCAACGUGCGCCGUCACCUGACGGCGGAGCCUUGCUCGGCAAGGCCGUCCACUCCCUGUCCCGCAUCGGGGACGAGCUCUACCUGGAACCCUUGGAGGACGGGCUCUCCCUCCGGACGGUGAACUCCUCCCGCUCUGCCUAUGCCUGCUUUCUCUUUGCCCCGCUCUUCUUCCAGCAAUACCAGGCAGCCACCCCUGGUCAGGACCUGCUGCGCUGUAAGAUCCUGAUGAAGUCUUUCCUGUCUGUCUUCCGCUCACUGGCGAUGCUGGAGAAGACGGUGGAAAAAUGCUGCAUCUCCCUGAACGGCCGGAGCAGCCGCCUGGUGGUCCAGCUGCAUUGCAAGUUCGGUGAGUGGGCAGCCGGCCAGCCAAGGGGUGCCUCAGCAGGGAGGUCGGCGAGGCCCACUGAGACCCUAUCGCCUAUCCAGGGGUGCGGAAGACUCACAACCUGUCCUUCCAGGACUGUGAGUCCCUGCAGGCCGUCUUCGACCCAGCCUCGUGCCCCCACAUGCUCCGCGCCCCAGCACGGGUUCUGGGGGAGGCUGUUCUGCCCUUCUCUCCUGCACUGGCUGAAGUGACGCUGGGCAUUGGCCGUGGCCGCAGGGUCAUCCUGCGCAGCUACCACGAGGAGGAGGCAGACAGCACUGCCAAAGCCAUGGUGACUGAGAUGUGCCUUGGAGAGGAGGAUUUCCAGCAGCUGCAGGCCCAGGAAGGGGUGGCCAUCACUUUCUGCCUCAAGGAAUUCCGGG